CCUACGGGAGGCAGCAGUGAGGAAUAUUGGUCAAUGGACGCAAGUCUGAACCAGCCAUGCCGCGUGCAGGAAGACGGCUCUAUGAGUUGUAAACUGCUUUUGUACGAGGGUAAACUCAGAUACGCGUAUCUGUCUGAAAGUAUCGUACGAAUAAGGAUCGGCUAACUCCGUGCCAGCAGCCGCGGUAAUACGGAGGAUUCAAGCGUUAUCCGGAGUUAUUGGGUUUAAAGGGUGCGUAGGCGGUCGGAUAAGUUAGAGGUGAAAUCCCGAGGCUCAACUUCGGAAUUGCCUCUGAAACUGUGCGGCUAGAGAGUAGUUGCGGUAGGCGGAAUGUAUGGUGUAGCGGUGAAAUGCUUAGAGAUCAUACAGAACACCGAUUGCGAAGGCAGCUUACCAAGCUACGUCUGACGUUGAGGCACGAAAGCGUGGGGAGCAAACAGGAUUAGAUACCCUUGUAGUC
rnacentral:rRNA from 1 species